rnacentral:rRNA from 1 species
AUUGAACGCUGGCGGCAUGCUUUACACAUGCAAGUCGAACGGUAACAGGGUGCUUGCACCGCUGACGAGUGGCGAACGGGUGAGUAAUGCGUCGGAACGUGCCGAGUAGUGGGGGAUAACGCAGCGAAAGUUGUGCUAAUACCGCAUACGUACUGAGGUAGAAAGUGGGGGACCUUCGGGCCUCACGCUAUUCGAGCGGCCGACGUCUGAUUAACUAGUAGGUGGGGUAACGGCUCACCUAGGCGACGAUCCCUAGCUGGUCUGAGAGGAUGACCAGCCACACUGGAACUGAGACACGGUCCAGACUCCUACGGGAGGCAGCAGUGGGGAAUAUUGCACAAUGGGCGCAAGCCUGAUGCAGCCAUGCCGCGUGUAUGAAGAAGGCCUUCGCGUUGUAAAGUACUUUUAGCGGGGAGGAAGGUGUUGAGGUUAAUAACCUCAGCAAUUGACGUUACCCGCAGAAGAAGCACCGGCUAACUCCGUGCCAGCCGCCGCCGUAA